rnacentral:lncRNA from 1 species
CUGCUCAUUAAUCCUUGUGCUGCAUUCUUCAGUAGCUUCUCCACAACCUUGGCUAGCUUCGUCUUUGUCCUCAGGAGUCACUUGGACAGAACUUCUUUCCUCUUCCUUCUUGACUGAUCUCUCAUAUAAAUCACUGACGAUAAAUGAGGGGUAGUAUCUGUCCUUCAGAGUUUCGUAAACAUCUGCCUGAAUUCUGUAGAAUACUUCAAUGCCUU